rnacentral:rRNA from 1 species
GACGAACGCUGGCGGCGUGCUUAACACAUGCAAGUCGAACGGUAAGGCCCUUUCGGGGGUACACGAGUGGCGAACGGGUGAGUAACACGUGGGUGACCUGCCCCCUACUCUGGGAUAAGCCUGGGAAACUGGGUCUAAUACCGGAUAUGACCUUGCGCUGCAUGGCGUUGGGUGGAAAGUUUUUCGGUGGGGGAUGGGCCCGCGGCCUAUCAGCUUGUUGGUGGGG